CGGAGUUAAACUUAACUCCCAGAGUUUAAACAAACUCCCCCUAUCAAUAUGCCAUAUUGAUAGAAACUUGAAUUCAAACUGAAUUCAAGUCAUUGCAAUAUUCAUCUGAAUACUUGCAACACGUCAACAUGAAUAUAUGCAUAAACUUAUGCAUCACAUGUCAUGUCAUCAACAUACUUCUCCCCCUUUGUCAUCAACAAAAAGGAGAAGUACCACAAUCAAGUGUGUGUGAUAUUGGUUCAACUCAUUGCAUGAAAAUCAUAAUAUCAAGUUUUAUCAUCAUGCAAGUUUGCUAAUAUCAAAUAUCAACAUGAAAAAUUGCGAUGUAAGCUUUUGAUAUCAUAACGCAAACAUUUCAAGUGUUUAUCAAUUGUAGCAUUUCAUCACAUGGUAAGAUAUCAA
rnacentral:lncRNA from 1 species